CUGGGAGGGAGGAGGGGGACGGCGAGAAGGAGCUGUCUCUCCCCCACCUCCUUUCCGCCUCCCUCUCUCCCUCCUUGGCUCUGGCAGUGGGAAGAAGAUGAAAGAGAAGCCGCCGCAGCUGUGAUCGACACCACAUUGAUAGAUGCUCUGACAGGGGAUGAGGCGGGAAUCAGGGCAGAGGGAAGGGGGAAAACAUAACACAUUGCUCAGCUAAUAAGAGAACGGAAGCAAGAAGAACAAGAAAGAGUUGUGGCUCUCCUAAAUACAUUGUAAAGGGACAAGGGAACACAUGCCAGUAAAAAAUUAAAUUUCCAGGCUUACCGAGAAAAAUAGGACGAGGAAGAAAAGACUGAAGACUGAAUCUUAAUUAUCGCUUUUUAAGCAAGCUCUUGUUCAUUACCUCCUCACCAUGGGAUGCACAAGGAGACUUACGCGAGGUCUCUCGUGGAUUUUUGAAGAUACACGCCACAAUAUGUGGGAACCUCGUAGAGAAUGAAAAAACAACCCAAGUAGGGGGAAGAAAAGGCAAAGGGACCAAGGAGAGUGAAGCCAGUAGAAGGAGGGAGAACAGGGCAGUCUCUGGCACCUCGGACUGUGUGCUCAAAGGGACUCUUGAAGAUGCAAAUCGGAAUCCAACCUCAAAAAUUCCCCAGCCUUCACCGUCUCUUUGAUGCAUUUUGUACAAGGACAGGACUUUUAAGGAGAUGCUUUGUGAAAGUUACAGUAUAAGCGAAGCUGAAGUUUGAAAACACAUUACAUUUUGUUCCUUGGCUCUCAAACCCCCUCAGUUAAAAAUCCAGGCAAAAUUAUUAUACCCAAUACAGUAGCCAUCUGUAAAACCUCAGAACAGUAAACAAGGAGCAGGAAGAAAUAUCUCCACCUCCCUUAAAUUGAAAAUAGGGAAAAACAUCACAGAAUCAGACUUUAGCUUUACUGUAUAGGAAUAAUCAUGCAAAAAUCCCUUUUCUUUUCCUAAGGGGGAAUCUGCAUGCUGCUAGAUGUUGUCUAAAGAUCUUAACAAUGCUCUAAAUGAGCACUCAAAACUUCGUCUACUGUUAAUUACUUGACAGAGAUGGGAAUUCACUAGGAAGCAAUUUUUAAAACUAUAUCAUUUAAAGGAUUCAGUUGGUCGCAUAAAUCAUGACCAAAGUCACACGGUAUAUUCUAUCCCGGGAUUGGGGUCAAAUUAAAGAGCUGGUGAUGGGAGCCUGGAAGAGUAAAACAUUAAAUACGCUGUAAAUAGCUGACAAGCUACACCUGAGAGAAAACAAAAACAAUAAGCUGCUACAAUGUGUAAGGCAAUACUGAAAAGAUUUGGGGGGGAAAACCCUGUUUAAUUUUUUGGCGGGUAGCAUUAUGCAAUUUCCCUUGAAGUUCUGUACCAGGGAGAGGUAAAGUUUCAGACAUGUGAACAUGUAGCCAUGCCAGACAUUUAUACCCUCUGUUCUGAAAAAAAACAAAAACAUGGGAAAACAAAGUCAGAAGUCCUUCCACAAAUGCGCCAGUUUGACUGAUAGGAAAAGAAGUAAAAAAUGCAGUUUCACCAAAGCAGCCAAAGUAGACGUUCCUUUUCAUCAAACUGUCAAGGGGCAGGGAGGGGGUGACAGAAUGGCCAUGGGGUAUUUUCUGGGAGCCAAAGAGAUUAAAUGACGACUCUUACAUCCCCCCCCCAUGUUAAAGUGUUGCAACUAAUUCGAAUCCCAUUUACUCCUUCAUGUUAAUUAUCUGGACUCCCUGAGUCAUAUGGAGCUCAGCUCCAGGUGUCCUGGAGAUUAGGAGCUCUUGAAGAUGGAAAAUUUUAAAACAAUAACUAGUGGGAACUGAUUACCAGAAGGGAGGAGGGUAGGUGGCUGCGUUUUGUAUUUUGCGGCAAACCUCUUCUUUGGGAACAUUGUUUCUAACGAAAUCACCCUGUGCCUUGCUCUAUUUGUGUGGCUGUUUACCUUCCCCGUGUCGUGCGGGGUGAUGGCUGAUGGUCCUUAGCAUUGUUGCAAAUCUUCUGAUGAGGUGCACUUAAAAGAGGCUUUGCUAGAAAAUACUGACUCAAGUUUUCUUUAAGCUUUGCCUGGGAGAGAGAUUGAUAUUUCCAUGUGAAGUCUCUGAGGGAGGGGGAGCUAGAAGACGCAGGAGGGGAGAAAUAACUCUGGGGAAAACGUUCCUCCCUCCCUGCAGGUUCGGUGAAGUUCCUGGCAAAGGCAUUUAUGUAAGGUCUCUUCGAAUUCUUGCGGGGGAUGCCAUUAUAAAGCCGCCUCUUCAGGCGCAAGGUCCGGGAUGUGGUGGGUGCUGGGCGGGAGAAAGACCGCCGCCCGCCGCCCCCUUCCCUCGGAUGUAGAGGCAGGUUGUUCGUGUGAACUCGAGCGAACGACUGGAGGGAGGAGAGAAAAGCGCAGUGCCCUUCAGAGCCCUCUCCGCCUCCUCAGUCCUAACCCCCCCGCCCAGGCUCCGGGUCUCCCCCUCCCCCGCCCUUUGUGUGGCCUGGACUCUCUCCCAGCUACAACUUUGGUGGGAUCCCAGAGGAAGGAGGUGGCGGGGGCCUACGGAAGAGGAUGCUGGAAGAGAGAGAAGCAAGGGUGAAGGACUAGAAGAACGAUGUAAUUCCAGAGAAAGAACUCCGGCACCCUCGAUUUCCCACCCCAGUGUCACCAGAGGACUAAAGCUGUGGGCAUCUUCGGUUUAACGGAAUUCUCAGAAAGCGAGAGGUGGGGGGAGAGGGAAAUGGCAGUUUGUGUCCCAGGGGUUCUUCCGCUUCUUCGUGCCUCCUCCUAAGACAAACUCAACACCCACCACCACCACCACCACCACCACCACCACCACCCGCCCGACUAACAGAGAACUCGUGGGACGGUGAAAAGCCGUUCCCAAAUCCGGCCCCCUGCGGAUGCCGGGCUUCCGCGGGGCCGGCGCCGGUUGGCGUCCGUAGCUCCGCGCAGCCUCCCGGGUCCGCCCACGGAACCCGCCGCGCCGGCGCGACCCCCUCCCCCAGAGCCCUCGGGUGGCUUCUCCCGCGCCCUCCCGGGAUGCUCCUGCCGGCCGGGCCGACCUCCGCGUCCGCAUCUCUCUGGGGGGGGCGAGGGGACGGGACCGAUGCUCUCCUGUCCAAGGGGCCAGGUCCUCCCAGGGCCCGCCAGAAGAGCCAUACCCAACCCCACCGUCUGUGGGCAAGGCCAGCAGACCCUCUGCCCACUCGCAGGCCAGGGCUCACGACCCGAGGGCGCCCAGAGGGAGAGGAGGCAAGCUGGGGCGAUCGCGACGGGAAUGCGGGGCGGGCGCACAGGAGCAUAAUGGCUAGAAAGGGCCCUGCCACAUGCCCUCGCGGCUCGGCUCCGCGACGGGGACCCCUUGGCUCGUGCGCAGAGGAGCCAGCGAUACGUCUGGAAGGGUCCCCAGAAUGGAGUGGAAUGGAUGUGGGAACUGGAAUGCAGUCCCGAGCCCCAGGACCGCUCUCCUAGUGGGCUGGACGCCCCUUUGUGUGACUAAAUUUGGCAAGAAUAUGGAUCCGAGCCAGUCUUUCCACGUGUGCUCCCAGCUCCCAGCUGAGAAGGCCAAGGGUUCUCUUCCGGGAGAACCAGUUUGGCUAUUAAGGGAACCUCUCAGCACAGUGCAGAGCAAGAGAAAAAGCAAGAUUUCAGAGAGAAUAGCUGUUUACCAUCAAAGCGAACUGGGUUCCACACAGACAUGGUAUAUUAUACACAGAAACGAAGUGUCACCUGGGUUUUGCAUCAUUGUGAGCUCCCUCCUUCAGGGCACAGCUGAGUUUCUUGGGUGAGAGGAGGAAAAUCCCACACAGGAAUUUGCACCAGGGACACGAGCUAGAACUGUUUCUGCACCAGACUGAAGUUACCACUGUCCAAGUCUGCACUGUGUGCUGGCAAAUAGUCCCACUUCUUGCUGCACGGGCCCCUGCAGCUCUGCCAUGUUAAGCCCUGGCCCUUUCUCUGCCCGUGUGGUCAUAGAAGUCAUCCUCCCACCGUCUCCAGACCUGUCCAGAUGAGAAAAUGGAGACUUGGAGGAGUAAUUUGCCCAAGAUCAUGCUGUGGGGCAGGGAUCUGAAUCCAGACAGUCUGACUCCAAAACCCAACUUCGUAACCACCAAAAUACAUGUCCUGUCCACACUGUAGCCAUUGAACUAGAACAUAGCAUCAGUUCAGGUGCACAAACUGUUUAUACCACAAGUCAAGAGAAUCUCAAAGUCCAGGUGACACAGAGAUUAGGUCUCUCAUUUGUUGGGACAAACCUGGUUAUGGAACCAGGUUCUUUUGCCUGAUGUGCAGCAAACCAAAUGCUGAGAUGCUGAGGUUUACAGAAGAGAAAAGGUUUAUUCACAAGGCACCCAAGCGAGGCGAUGGGAGGACAAGUUUCAGAUCUGCUUCCUUGAAGAUUCUCUCUGGCUGGACUGGGGCAAUAGGACUGUGGACAGAAUAACACAUGUCAUGUCCAGGGUGAGUCACUUAAAAGCCAGAGUGCCUUCCCCUCUCCUUCUCUUUCCCACCCAGCAGCCCUCGAAGCCGUGUGUGGAUCAAACACGUUGCGAAGUGACAAGAGCCAGGAGUGCUGAGUUUCGAGGAGGACGUGAGUCCCUGCCAACCGACUUUGGAAUUGCUGUGAGUGAGACACAAGCUUUCACUGUGUGAAACCCUGUGACUUGGGGGUUCAUCUUUUACCACAGCAUUGUCUAGCCUGACCAGAUUCAUUUGCAUAAGAAAAUCUCCACUGCCUUCAGAAUAUAAAGUAUAUUUCUGUAAACGUUGCAGAAAGCUAGUAUCUUGAUAAGAUAUAGAAAUUCUUCCACUCUUUCCUCUUACUGCAGUUCUUUCACUCCUUCUCUACCUUAAUGGGUUGGAGUUUGUCAUCAAGUCAGUCAGUCAACCAGGAUGCAGAUGUGAGUUUCCUUGUGGAAACAGAUGCCAGCAAAUAUGCGUACCCCACCCAGAAGUACUGCGCCAGGUUAAAUCUAACCGAGGUCUUUUAGGUCGUUUCUGCCCACAUGAACCCAGGGUCGCUGAGUAUUAUUCCUUCAGCCCCACCCAUGCGAAAAGCCUCUUGGGUGAAGACAUGGAAUGCAGUUCAGCCCCAGGAUAUAUUCCUGCAAGGAGGAGUGCCAUGUACGACAGAUCAGAGACGGUGAAGACUAGAAAAUGUUUGCUUACAUAUUCAACUUAUGUUAUAUUUCCAUUGGACAACACUGGUCUAAGCAGCGGUUCUCCAAACUCCUGUGCUCAUAAUUAUGCGAGAAGCUUUAAAAAUGCAGAUUCCCAGGCUCCACUCCCCAGAGAUUCUUAUUCUCUCUGCGCUGGGACUCUGGUGCUGCUAUUUAUUUUUAAAGCUCCCAAGUGAAACCACGUGCAGCUGUUCCAGGGGCUGCAGGAGACACACAGUCUUCCACAGGCGCUGCCCCAGCCAUCUGGGUGAUAACCACCCAGCCACCCUCUGUGGGCCAUCUGCCCGGUUCGGGGUGGUUUUAAAAUAUGUCCAUGAAUUGAUACUCCUCUCUUCAAGAGGUAGAGCUUCAUUUCCCUCUUCUGUGAGAACAAGAUUUAAUGACUGGCUGCUAACAAGUAGCAUGUGGCAGAAGUGACCUGAACCUAGGUUAUGAAAGAUAUUGUGGCUUCCCACUCCCUCUCCCUCUCUGUCCCCAUCUUCCACUCUUGUUACUUAUCCUGGAAAAAGCCAGCUGCCAUGCCAUGUGGGCACUCAGCCAGCCCUGCAGAGAUGUCCACAAGGUGAAGGGCAAAGGCCUUUUGCCGAUAGCAAGGAGAAACGCACCAGGUGGGAGUUCCCUGGAGGUGCGGUGGGUUAGGGAUCUGGUGACACUGCUGUGGUGUGGGCUUGAUCCCUGCCCAGAACUUCUGCAUGCUGUAGGCACAGAAAGAGAGAGAAGAAAGAUUAAAAAAGGAACUUACCAGGUAUGUGAUGAACCACCUUGGAAGGAUCAUUUAACCCCAGUCAAACCUUCGGAUGACUGCAGCCCCUACUGACCUCUGGACUGUGCGAUGUCUCAGGAAAAAGGGCUAUGUCUGUUUGGGGAGCAUUUAUUGGAGGAAAUUUCAUCCAGCUGUUCCACAGAAUCCUAAAAUGUGGGAUCUCACUUCCCAGACCAGGGACUGAACUUGGGCCAUAGCAGUGAAGUGUUUUGUGUGUGUCUGAGCCAUUUUUGUUGUUGCUGUUUGUUUUUGUUUUUGUUUUUCCUUUUCCUGAGCUCCUCCCUCAUCACGUCUAUGUGUCUGUCCUCUGUGGCAACAUCUAUGACAGGCUUCAUUAUUGGGCUCCUCACCGCUGCCAUUUGUACGUACUUCUCAUUGUUUCCUUCUAUACCAUACAGAAUUGUGCUGGAGCUCGAGGGGAGAAAACGCCUCUUCAAAUGUGGCCGGAAGAGGUUGGUCACCUGUCAUUAGAAACGACUCUCACACCUUGAGGAAAGACCUUGACCUCCUGGGCUCACUCUACCCUCUGGGGGAUAUGUGUGUCUUAACGGCACCUGAAGAGAUUAUUUAAGUUUCCUUAGUUGUGGCAAGGCAUAGAGGGAGUGGGUGAAUGGUCAUUAGGUUGAUUUUCCGUCACAUUUUUUGGCAGUGGGGACUUGGUUUCCUCUUGCAUCAAGGGAGGAAGCUUGUGGGACCAUCUUCAUUUCACAUGGGGUUAAACCGCCAGAGAUGGGCAAAGCUUCCAAAGCUCGUGGUCAGAGCUCAUGCAGACCAGGUGCAUCUUCCCUCGGUCUCCAGGUCACCACUUUCUUAGAGCUCUUCCUCCUCUACUGGCCACUCCCACAAAGUCUCCUUUGCUGGUUCCUCUUCAUGCUCCUAAUCUCCAAGUACCUGAGUUGUCCACGGUUGGGCCUCUGUCUACUCUAUCUAGAUAACAUGCCCUGUCUGAUCUCAUCCUCUCUGCUGGCUUUUAAAUACUACCUGAAAGAAAGUGUCCUCAAAUUUCUAUCCCUAACCUGAAACACUUUCUAAACUCCAGACGCCGCCCCUUGGAUGGCCAAUAAACAUCUAAAACUAAAACA